rnacentral:rRNA from 1 species
AUUGAACGCUGGCGGCAUGCCUUACACAUGCAAGUCGAACGGUAACAGGUUAAGCUGACGAGUGGCGAACGGGUGAGUAAUAUAUCGGAACGUGCCCAGUCGUGGGGGAUACGUAGCGAAAGCUACGCUAAUACCGCAUACGAUCUACGGAUGAAAGCGGGGGAUCGCAAGACCUCGCGCGAUUGGAGCGGCCGAUAUCAGAUUAGGUUGUUGGUGAGGUAAAAGCUCACCAAGCCUGCGAUCUGUAGCUGGUCUGAGAGGACGACCAGCCACACGGGAACGGAGACACGGUCUAGACUCCUACGGGAGGCAGCAGUGGGGAAUUUUGGACAAUGGACGCAAGUCUGAUCCAGCAAUGCCGCGUGCAGGACGAAGGCCUUCGGGUUGUAAACUGCUUUUGUACGGAACGAAACGGUGAGCUCUAAUACAGUUUGCUAAUGACGGUACCGUAAGAAUAAGCACCGGCUAACUACGUGCCAGCCGCCGCAGUAA